GCAGCUAUCAUGGCCUCUAAGGCAAGGUAAUAACGAUUGACAACUAAAGAGAGGAACAACGCAGAUCCGCAGAGAUACAAAUUUCUUUGAGCGUAGAAUUGGCUAGCCUUAUAUCCCGAACGAGCACUUUCGGUGGUGCUAGGAGCGGCAAUAGCAAGAUCAUAUUCUUUGGUCACACGAACAACACGGCGAACAGAGUCAGCAAACAGAAUCAAGAUGCAAAUAAUAGUAAU